rnacentral:rRNA from 1 species
CGCGUAGGCGGCCCGCUAAGUCGAACGUGAAAUCCCCGAGCUCAACUCGGGAACUGCGUCCGGUACUGGCGGGCUUGAAUCCGGGAGAGGGAUGCGGAAUUCCAGGUGUAGCGGUGAAAUGCGUAGAUAUCUGGAGGAACACCGGUGGCGAAGGCGGCAUCCUGGACCGGCAUUGACGCUGAGGCGCGAAAGCUAGGGGAGCAAACG